rnacentral:lncRNA from 1 species
CCCUUUCACUUUCAUGGCUUCCAAACUUCACUUUGAAGAUUAACAUAACAGUUGAUGGUCCCAAUCGAGAAAAUGAUCAAAAUAGUCCUUAAUGUAUAGGGUUUGAAUUAUUUUGAUCCUUUAUCUAUACCAUCUUAUCAAAAUAGUCCUUAAUGUAUACAUAAAAAGUAUCAUUUUGAUCCUAACCCUAAAAAUUAACUGAAAACAUCAAAAAAGGGUUAAGUUUAACGGUGGGUCCCACACUCUUCUUCCUCCCUCUUUCUUUCCCAUUGCUUCUCCUUCAUGUUAAAAAAAAAGAACAUAUAAAAUGAAAGAAAAAGUCCCAAUUAUUAUCUCUAAA